rnacentral:rRNA from 1 species
AUGCCUAGGAAUCUGCCUGGUAGUGGGGGAUAACGUCCGGAAACGGGCGCUAAUACCGCAUACGUCCUGAGGGAGAAAGUGGGGGAUCUUCGGACCUCACAAUAUCAGAUGAGCCUAGGUCGGAUUAGCUAGUUGGUGGGGUAAAGGCCUACCAAGGCGACGAUCCGUAACUGGUCUGAAAGGAUGAUCAGUCACACUGGAACUGAGACACGGUCCAGACUCCUACGGGAGGCAGCAGUUGGGAAUAUUGGACAAUGGGCGAAAGCCUGAUCCAGCCAUGCCGCGUGUGUGAAGAAGGUCUUCGGAUUGUAAAGCACUUUAAGUUGGGAGGAAGGGCAGUAAGUUAAUACCUUGCUGUUUUGACGUUACCAACAGAAUAAGCACCGGCUAACUUCGUGCCAGCAGCCCCGGUAAUACGAAGGGUGCAAGCGUUAAUCGGAAUUACUGGGCGUAAAGCGCGCGUAGGUGGUUCAGCAAGUUGGAUGUGAAAUCCCCGGGCUCAACCUGGGAACUGCAUCCAAAACCACUGAGCUAGAGUACGGUAGAGGGUGGUGGAAUUUCCUGUGUAGCGGUGAAAUGCGUAGAUAUAGGAAGGAACACCAGUGGCGAA